rnacentral:rRNA from 1 species
ACGCUCGACACCUACGGGAAGCAGCAGUGGGGAAUAUUGGGCAAUGGGCGCAAGCCUGACCCAGCAACGCCGCGUGAAGGAAGAAGGCUUUCGGGUUGUAAACUUCUUUUGUCAGGGAACAGUAGAAGAGGGUACCUGACGAAUAAGCCACGGCUAACUACGUACCAGCAGCCGCGGUAAUCUGAGCGGGCUGGCAAGGC